GAGAAUGUCACCAGUAGCUCAGACUUCAGUGGGACUAGUGGUGACAGUGAGAACCCAAUAACAUUCUUCACUUUGGUGACCCAAGAUAAGGAGGAUAUGCAAGGGACAUCAUCUGAGCCAAUAUUAGUGCAGACAGAGAUGACACCAUCAUCACCUGAUGCAACCUUCGAGGAUCUAGAAGACGUGUUGGCAGUGUGGGCAAAGACCCUUCCGCUGGUGCGUAUCGGGAUAAUCACAGGGGUUCUGCUGGUUACAGCUCUGAUCUUCUUCCCUCUGCUGGCUCUCAACAAGAUCCCAUCCUAGACCCACAUUAGGAAGAGAGGGUAGAAGCAAGGGUUAGGGCAAGGUCAAUUAAUUAGGGUUUUGGAGGGCUGAAAAACAGUUUUCAUUCUCUUUUAAUCAGACUGAUUCAGAUCUGUGUCUAUCAGGUGACUCUCGGCCAAUCAAUUACAUCAAAUGAUAAUUAAUUCAGGACUAGUACAUUUUUAAAGUGUAUA